UUCCUUAUGAGUAAAAAAACC
ensembl:piRNA 21ur-12058 ncRNA